UGGAAAACGAUACAUUUUAUUGGGUGGCCUUAACAUGAGCGUCCACUUCAGCACACUUUAUGUCACUCUCGCGGCAAGGUGAUAUUCUUCGAGUUAUGCGCUGCUGGUGACAUGUGAUAAUUUCAGUUUUGCCCACCAAACACAGAUGGGGUUAGGGUUACGGUUAGGCAGACAAAUUUAUUGGGGCAAAAGAUGAUGUGUUCACAUAAGAAAGGAGUUCAACUUUCAAAAGAUAGGUUUGGGACACCAACGUGGCCGCUGUUUCAUUGUAUAGGGACACCAUCAUGGCUGACAUGACGUCAUGCGAAAACACUAUUUAUAAACAAGAAAAAAUUGAUCGGAGUAUGGAGAUGUCAACACAUUUUAACUGGCAAGGUCCAGCCAUUUCUUGCUCAUCAUUUACCAGUGUCUGGUUUGUCUCGCAUUGGCGCCAGGUUGUAUAAGGCUUUUCAGGAAUAUUAAGAUCAACAGUCGAUAUUGGCCCUGCUCUAGCUUAAGCAUCAAACAUGUCAUGCAAACUAUGCAGUUAAGUUCAAAUCACUCAAUGAAAUACCGUGCCGUUAGCAUAGAAUUCAUAAUCCUUUAUCGUCAGUUGAUGGCUAGUGAGAUUUGGAUACUAAUUACUCCUGCAAUCAUGCAGCAAGACAAAUGCAAACUGCAGAGAUUCCAUCACGUCCUCGUUUGGUGAGUUCCAUCGUAUUCUGAAACCACUGUGUGUUGCUUCUGUUAGAAUCAUCGGUGGUUCUCUUUACCAGCAGUAAAACUUGAUCAGUCUCAUUUUAUGGCAAACAUUAAGGGAAAAGAUUACUAGGUGAUAUGAUAUAUAAACAGUUACCAAGAGCCUACAGAAGAUUGAUCAAACGGUUGGAGUCAAAAGGGCCAAGGGUCGCAUCUAACGUCCUGUUCUAUUUGCAAAGAAAUGGCGGAUCUCUUCAACAUAUACGAAGCACAGCUUGCUCUCAUUUUGCAAUCAUCCAUUCAUUGUCACAAAAUCCUCUAAAUCCUGUAAUCUGGUAUCGUAAAAAUCACUACCACAGCAUUUUUUGGGCUUACGUCUCUUUCUUCAAAUGGUGCUUAUGCCAUUUUUAGGACAAACGAUAAGGGAGACAAAGUUAUCCCAUAUAAUUAGCAAGCAUAAGAUUAGUUAGCAAUUAAGUGGAAUGCAAAAGAGUUGAGGCCCACCUCAGAUCACUUGAACAAUUGAAAAGGUCAUCAAAAAUAUUCUUGUUAUCUGAUUGCAAAAUUCAGGGAAGUUAACGAGUUGAAGACGGGUCAUCUAAACCUGUUUUUUGUAGACCGAGAUUACAAGGAUCCCAUCAGCUGUCGUAACUCUAGACUCUUGCAGUUUCGUGGAUGCUGCAUUGGAAACUCAUAGAAUAUAACCGAAUCUCCUGAAGUACUAGAAAUGACACGCAGCUGAUUUUGCUUUGCCUUAAACUUUACUUUUUACACCGGUUCAAGUCUUAAUAUUUGUCUCGGUCGGUGGCAAAGCGUAGAUUCACUACUUAUGUUACCGUAAGAAUGUCUGCGUUGACGCCUUUUUCUGAGGCGUACUUAUCAGAUCGCAUGUAUACAGUUUCAGUGACAGGUUCCAAAAGCAGUUUUCCUAUCGCGUUUAUUAAGUUAUCUUCUUCUUAAAUUGUCUUCCGGACUCAAACGCGGCAUAGAAGGCAGAUGCGCUUAUUCGCGUCAGGAGCAUUUAUGGAGCAACCCCUGCGCUUGGACAUGACUUCAGUUACUGCUGAUCAGUCCAGAACUCACACAAUCUACACAAUUCAAGAAUUGCUAUUAGAGUACAGUUUGGUCAUCAUUGUGCUGGGAUGUUUUCUACUGGUAUCACUGUCUUCAAAAAUAGUUCGAGAGUUUGGAGGACCUAAAGAUGGAGUCUCCUUGGUAUACAGAUCGCCAUGAGGUUGAAUUGUGUGAGCGAAAUUUCAUUUCCCGAAAGCCCGAACGGCUCCAGGUGCAUAUGUACGUAAAGGCUAGAAGUGAUGCAUAUUCAGUGGAGAGCGUUGCACUUUGAAAGUAACAGUGUCAAUCAUGUGAACAGAGAAUGUUUGAAGCCUUGGUUCCGACGUGCAUAUCUUCUGAAAGAAAGAACAAAGCACAGUCAAAAAUGUACACAAAUUGACCAUGUCUCGUCCACUCUGGAUUUAACGCAACCGAUUACAUCCAUGGAGAGCAAUAUCAAUGAUGUUUCAUUUCUGAUAAAAAAA